rnacentral:lncRNA from 1 species
GUACCAGCACAGUGACUCAUUUUUAUCCUUCCUUCCUAAUUUCCAAGCCCUGUCAGAGACUUGUGCUUCUCCAAUAUGUAAAUAUUUCAAAGUCAACAUAAGCCCAGAACCCACUAUCUCCAGAGGCUGAUUCUAUUGCAGUUCGUUUCCCAGUGCCUCCCACAGUCUCCAGGGCCCUAAUGAUCAAGGGAGGAGGGACUACUGUUGCUUGGCUACUGUCUUGGAUGAUGCGGAAUGUCCAGAUUUAUGCCAUGGAACGAUCAAUCAGAACGCAGUGUGGCAAAGGGAUUGAAUAGACUAGACUAGCUGUAGGGAGGGCAUUUUUUGAUCUAAUUAUACUAAUAGAGGUAAGAGGUGAUAGAGGAAGGGCAU